rnacentral:misc_RNA from 1 species
CCGAAGUACAGGCCCUCUCGUAGGGCUAAACUUCCACCCUUUGUUUACUAUUCUUUGUUGCUUUGGCGAGACGUCUUCGGACCACCGGCCCUUGGGCUGGUGCGCGCUCGCCAGAGGAAAAUCAAACCCAAACCUUUUUUAGUGUUGUCUGAGAACUAAGUUUAAUUAUUA